rnacentral:rRNA from 1 species
CAUGCAAGUCGAACGGAAAGGCCCCUUCGGGGGUACUCGAGUGGCGAACGGGUGAGUAACACGUGGGCAAUCUGCCCUGCACUUCGGGAUAAGCCUGGGAAACUGGGUCUAAUACCGGAUAGGACCUUUAGGCGCAUGUCUUUAGGUGGAAAGCUUUUGCGGUGUGGGAUGGGCCCGCGGCCUAUCAGCUUGUUGGUGGGGUGAUGGCCUACCAAGGCGACGACGGGUAGCCGGCCUGAGAGGGUGUCCGGCCACACUGGGACUGAGAUACGGCCCAGACUCCUACGGGAGGCAGCAGUGGGGAAUAUUGCACAAUGGGCGCAAGCCUGAUGCAGCGACGCCGCGUGGGGGAUGACGGCCUUCGGGUUGUAAACCUCUUUCACCAUCGACGAAGGUCCGGGUUUUCUCGGAUUGACGGUAGGUGGAGAAGAAGCACCGGCCAACUACGUGCCAGCAGCCGCGGUAAUACGUAGGGUGCGAGCGUUGUCCGGAAUUACUGGGCGUAAAGAGCUCGUAGGUGGUUUGUCGCGUUGUUCGUGAAAUCUCACGGCUUAACUGUGAGCGUGCGGGCGAUACGGGCAGACUAGAGUACUGCAGGGGAGACUGGAAUUCCUGGUGUAGCGGUGGAAUGCGCAGAUAUCAGGAGGAACACCGGUGGCGAAGGCGGGUCUCUGGGCAGUAACUGACGCUGAGGAGCGAAAGCGUGGGGAGCGAACAGGAUUAGAUACCCUGGUAGUCCACGCCGUAAACGGUGGGUACUAGGUGUGGGUUUCCUUCCUUGGGAUCCGUGCCGUAGCUAACGCAUUAAGUACCCCGCCUGGGGAGUACGGCCGCAAGGCUAAAACUCAAAGGAAUUGACGGGGGCCCGCACAAGCGGCGGAGCAUGUGGAUUAAUUCGAUGCAACGCGAAGAACCUUACCUGGGUUUGACAUGCACAGGACGCGUCUAGAGAUAGGCGUUCCCUUGUGGCCUGUGUGCAGGUGGUGCAUGGCUGUCGUCAGCUCGUGUCGUGAGAUGUUGGGUUAAGUCCCGCAACGAGCGCAACCCUUUGUCUCAUGUUGCCAGCGGGUAAUGCCCGGGGACUCGUGAGAGACUGCCGGGGUCAACUCGGAGGAAGGUGGGGAUGACGUCAAGUCAUCAUGCCCCUUAUGUCCAGGGCUUCACACAUGCUACAAUGGCCGGUACAAAGGGCUGCGAUGCCGCAAGGUUAAGCGAAUCCUUUUAAAGCCGGUCUCAGUUCGGAUUGGGGUCUGCAACUCGACCCCAUGAAGUCGGAGUCGCUAGUAAUCGCAGAUCAGCAACGCUGCGGUGAAUACGUUCCCGGGCCUUGUACACACCGCCCGUCACGUCAUGAAAGUCGGUAACACCCGAAGCCAGUGGCCUAACC